UAUGUGAUCGUCUCUCGCAUAUCAAUAAGCGGAGGAAAAGUCAACUACCUACGCUUAGGAUGUUGACGCGCGUGUGUGCGUGAUCUAUACAUGACUCUGCGCAUAUCAAUAAGCGGAGGAAAAGGAGUAUACCUACGCUUAGGAUGUUGACACACGCGCGUGCUCGGCUCUAUACAUGACUCUGCGCCAUAUCAAUAAGCGGAGGAAAAGACUGCGGAACUGAACGACCGCUACCUACGCUUAGGAUGUUGACGAGACUGUCGAUCUCAUCUAUACAUGACUCUGCGCAUAUCAAUAAGCGGAGGAAAAGAAACUAACAAGGAUUCCCCUAGUAGCGGCGAGUGAAGCGGGAAGAGCUUAAAUUUGAAAUCUUAAAGGGUUUCCCUUUACGAAUUGUAGUUUAAAGAAGUGUUUUCUGUUGAGGUUUUGGUAAAAGUUCUUUGGAAUAGGACAUCAUAGAGGGUGAGAAUCCCGUAUUUGACCUUUACUUUCAACUUUGUGAUACACUUUCAAAGAGUCGGAUUGUUUGGGAAUGCAGUCCAAAAUGGGUGGUAAAUUUCAUCUAAAGCUAAAUAUUGGCGAGAGACCGAUAGCGAACAAGUACCGUGAGGGAAAGAUGAAAAGAACUUUGAAAAGAGAGUUAAACAGUACGUGAAAUUGUCAAAAGGGAAGCGUUUGACACCAGUGUUGUUUUUCUGAAAAUCAAUUAAAGAACUGUUUAUGCUAAGCUGUUUAGACUUUAUCAGCUAUCUGUUUAGUUUUGAGCUUUUCUUUAAUGCACUUUUCAGUUAACAAGUCAACAUCAAUUUCUUUUGCUGUAAAAAAGCUUGAGGAAGGUGGCUUGAGAUUCGUCUUAAGUGUUUAUAGCCUCUUGCCUAUGCAGUCGGAGAGAUUGAGGUCUGCAGCGUAGAUCCUUCGGGGCUAAAUGCAUUUGUGCUAAGUUAUAGCAUUUUAUAGACAACUUGUUGACUAUGAUUUGUCUUGUAGCUUACUCGCUUAUGUUAUUUUACCUACGCUUAGGAUGUUGACACACGCGCGUGCUCG
rnacentral:rRNA from 1 species